rnacentral:rRNA from 1 species
CGCAUCUGUGCAUGCAGCAUAUCAAUAAGCGGAGGAAAAGGAGUAUACCUACGCUUAGGAUGUUGACGCGCGUGUGUGCGUGAGUCUAUACAUGACUCUGUGCAUAUCAAUAAGCGGAGGAAAAGAAACUAACAAGGAUUCCCUUAGUAACGGCGAGUGAAGCGGGAAGAGCUCAAAUUUGAAAUCUUCAAGGUUUUACCUUGACGAAUUGUAGUUUAAAGAAGUGUUUUCUGUUGAAGUUUUGGUAAAAGUUCUUUGGAAUAGGACAUCAUAGAGGGUGAGAAUCCCGUAUUUGACCAUUAUUUUCAGCUGUGUGAUACACUUUCAAAGAGUCGGAUUGUUUGGGAAUGCAGUCCAAGAUGGGUGGUAAAUUUCAUCUAAAGCUAAAUAUUGGCGAGAGACCGAUAGCGAACAAGUACCGUGAGGGAAAGAUGAAAAGAACUUUGAAAAGAGAGUUAAACAGUACGUGAAAUUGUCAAAAGGGAAGCGUUUGACACCAGUGUUGUUUUCUCGAAAAUCAAUUAAAAAGAGUUUGAUUUUGUUGUGUAUUGACCUUAACAGCUUGCAUUUCAAUUUUCUUGCUUUUUUUAAUGCACUUUUCGUUUAACAAGUCAACAUCAGUUUCUUUUGUUGUAAAAAGGUCAUUGGAAGGUGGCUUUCUUUUCGGAGAAAGUGUUUAUAGCCUUUGACUCCUGCAAUCGGAGAGACUGAGGUCUGCAGCGUAGAUCCUUCGGGGUUAGAUACAUUUGUGCUAAGUUAUAGCUUUUUAUAGACAACUUGUUGACUAUGAUUAGUCUUGUAGCUUACUCGCUUAUGCUAUUUUACCUACGCUUAGGAUGUUGACGCGCGUGUGUGCGUG